rnacentral:rRNA from 1 species
GACGAACGCUGGCGGCGUGCUUAACACAUGCAAGUCGAACGAAGAAGCAAAGAUUCGGAGCUUCGGCAGAUAUUCACUUCGGAUUAGUGGCAGACGGGUGAGUAACGCGUGAGCAACCUACCUCUUACAAAGGGAUAGCCUCGGGAAACCGGGAUUAAUACACUAUAACAUUGCAACGAAGCAAUUCGAUGCAGUUAAAGCUACUGCGGUAGAAGAGGGGGUCGCGUCCAAUUAACAGGGUGGAGAGGUAACGGCACACCAAAGUGAGGAUGGGUAACCGGCAUGAGAGGGUGAACGAUCACACUGGAACUGAGCCACAGUCCAGACUCCUGCGGGAGGGAGCAAUGGGGAAUAUAGCACAAUGGAGGGAACUAUGAUGCAGCGACGCCGCGUGAAUGAUGAAGGAAUGCGUGUCGAAAGACUCUGUUCAAUGGGAACAUAAGGACUGUACCAAAGGAGAAAGCACCGGCUAACUACGUG